GAUGAACGCUGGCGGCGUGUCUAAGGCAUGCAAGUCGAACGGACUGUUAUUUGUAGCAAUACUUAGAACAGUUAGUGGCAAACGGGUGCGUAACACAUUGGUAACCUGCCUCAAAGUCGGGCAUAAUCCCGCGAAAGUGGGACUAAUUCCACGAUAGUCAUCGAAGGUGAGAUUCCUUCGAUGUAAAGUCGCAAGACGCUUUGAGAGGGGCCUAUGGCCUAUCAGCUUGUUGGUGAGGUAACGGCUCACCAAGGCUAUGACGGGUAGGGGUGUGAGAGCACGACCCCCCUCCACUGGGACGUGAGACACCUGCCCACGACGACCUACGGGUGGGCUGCGAGUCGAGAAUAUU
rnacentral:rRNA from 1 species